GGUUCGGUAGCUCAGUUGGUAGAGCAAUGGACUGAAAAUCCAUGUGUCGGCGGUUCGAUCCCGCCCCGAACCA
rnacentral:tRNA from 4 species